AACGAACGCUGGCGGCAUGCCUAACACAUGCAAGUCGAACGAUUGCCUUCGGGUGAUAGUGGCGCACGGGUGCGUAACGCGUGGGAAUCUGCCCUUAGGUUCGGAAUAACAGCUGGAAACGGCUGCUAAUACCGGAUGAUAUCGCGAGAUCAAAGAUUUAUCGCCUGAGGAUGAGCCCGCGUUGGAUUAGGUAGUUGGUGGGGUAAAGGCCUACCAAGCCGACGAUCCAUAGCUGGUCUGAGAGGAUGAUCAGCCACACUGGGACUGAGACACGGCCCAGACUCCUACGGGCGGCCGCAGUGGGGAAUAUUGGACAAUGGGCGCAAGCCUGAUCCAGCAAUGCCGCGUGAGUGAUGAAGGCCCUAGGGUUGUAAAGCUCUUUUACCCGGGAAGAUAAUGACUGUACCGGGAGAAUAAGCCCCGGCUAACUCCGUG
rnacentral:rRNA from 1 species